rnacentral:lncRNA from 1 species
GAGCUGUGGAGUCCAAGUGUGACUGCCAAGAGGAAUCCAGCAAAGCCAAAAAGCCCAAGCAUGUAGCCCUGCCCGAAGCACGCCACACGCAUGGAAAACCCAGAGGAAAUGAGUGAGGAUCAAUGGGAAGAAGAGAGCCAGCCAGGAAGUUGAAGAUUUGUCCAGGAGCAGAUAGCUGAAGAGAGAGAGAGAGAAGAGAGAACGGCUUACAGCUCAGGUCCUCUCUCCAUGCUUAGGAACCACUACAAAUGCUACUGCCUUGAGUCUCAUUUUGUUUCCCUCUGGAAACCACAUGUGUACCUUGUUUGCAACAGUAUGGGUAUGGAU